rnacentral:rRNA from 1 species
GACGAACGCUGGCGGCGCGCCUAACACAUGCAAGUCGAACGGAGUCAAGAGGAGCUUGCUUUUCUUGACUUAGUGGCGAACGGGUGAGUAACGCGUGAGUAACCUGCCCUGGAGUGGGGGACAACAGUUGGAAACGACUGCUAAUACCGCAUAAGCCCACGGAUCUGCAUGGAUCUGCGGGAAAAGGAUUUAUUCGCUCUAGGAUGGACUCGCGUCCAAUUAGCUAGUUGGUGAGGUAACGGCCCACCAAGGCGACGAUUGGUAGCCGGACUGAGAGGUUGAACGGCCACAUUGGGAAUGAGACACGGCCCAGACUCCUACGGGAGGCAGCAGUAGGGGAUAUUGCACAAUGGGGGAAACCCUGAUGCAGCGACGCCGCGUGGAGGAAGAAGGUUUUCGGAUUGUAAACUCCUGUGGUUAGGGACGAUAAUGACGGUACCUAACAAGAAAGCACCAGCUAACUACGUG